GAGAAUCAUGAGGUCAAAGGAACUGCCUGAAGAGCUCAGAGACUGAAUUGUGGCAAGGCACAGAUCUGGCCAAGGUUACAAAAACAUUUCUGCUGCACUUAAGGUUCCUAAGAGCACAGCGGCCUCCAUAAUCCUUAAAUGGAAGACGUUUGGAAUGACCAGAACCCUUCCUAGAGCUGGCCGUCCGGCCAAACUGAGCUAUCGGUGGAGAAGAGCCUUGGUGAGAGAGGUAAAGAAGAACCCAAAGAUCACUGUGGCUGAGCUCCAGAGAUGCAGUCGGGAGAUGGGAGAAAGUUGUAGAAAGUCAACCAUCACUGCAGCCCUCCAUCAGUCGAGGCUUUAUGGCAGAGUGGCCCGACAGAAGCCUCUCCUCAGUGCAAGACACAUGAAAAAACACCUGAAGAUGGUCUCCAAGAUGGUCUGAUGAGACCAAGAUAGAACUUUUUGGCCUUAAUUCUAAGCGGUAUGUGUGGAGAAAACCAGGCACUGCUCAUCACCUGUCCAAUACAGUCCCAACAGUGAAGCAUGGUGGUGGAAGCAUCAUGCUGUGGGGGUGUUUUUCAGCUGCAGGGACAGGACGACUGGUUGCAAUCGAGGGAAAGAUGAAUGCGGCCAAGUACAGGGAUAUCCUGGACGAAAACCUUCUCCAGAGUGCUCAGGACCUCAGACUGGGCUGAAGGUUCACCUUCCAACAAGACAAUGACCCUAAGCACACAGCUAAAAUAACAAAGGAGUUGCUUCACAAAAACUCCGUGACUCUUCCUGAAUGGAGAGACCUGAAAAUGGCUGUCCACCAACGUUUACCAUCCAACCUGACAGAACUGAAGAGGAUCUGCAAGGAGGAAUGGCAGAGGAUCCCCAAAUGCAGACUUGCUCAGCACGAGCGUCCUCCGUGCCCACUUCAGGAGCCUGUAGUCUGGCUGGUGGCAGCUGUCCUCACCCUUCACCCCAGCAGGCUCCAGGAUGUCUCACUUCCACUUCCUAUAUGUGACCCGCAGCUUCGGGCGUCCUUCGAUUGCUGCUUAAUUACAUUUAAUUAAGCAGAGCCCAUUUCCCUUGUGAUGUCCAGUUUCCAGGCUUUGGCUCAUCACUGUUAUUGUCAUCCUCUUGUUUAUGGUUGGGGAUUUAAAUCAAUUUAUUUCUGUUAAUAUUGCAGCUGUUCAUUAUUUCUGAACUCACUAGGAUUUGUUUUUGUUUUACAGUCUCAAUUAAAUGUGACCUUUUCCAUUAACAGUUUUAUAAACUAAUAUAUAAUGCUUCGUUUACCUCUUAUUGUGACAUUGGCAGAAUAAAUGAAUUAAUAAUAAGGGUUUUUAUAAAAUUCAAGAGACCAUAAUUAUUCCACUUGCACUAUGGUUACCACACCUCAAGACAUUGUUUAAGUUUUAUUUCAAGACUGUCAGGUUUUGAUCCUUAACAUACUUUUGUGUGGAGGACUAAUUUAUGUCAAGCUUCCGUUUGCUAAUUACAAAAAGUCAUUUUAGAGCUAAUAAUGGAUAUGCAGAGUAGAGAUUACAGUUUUUUUUUCUCAAUUGCUUUGGCACAUUUUUCGAAACAGUGUUCAUCUUUAAACUGUAAGUGCAAUGGUCAGAACUGUUUGCUGAAACAUCAUAACCAUAAACAUCAGAAACAUAACUCGCCCUAAACAUUUAAUUCAUGCUUCAGAACCAGUUGUGUCAGUGACUUGGCCAGUGCCACCAAAAUAAAAAGCUUUUUUUUUUCAUUGUGUGAGCCACACUGUUCAAAAUGUUUAUUUUGAAUGGAAAUAUUGGAAUGGAA
ensembl:lncRNA